UGACUGGGGCGGUCGCCUCCCAAAUGGUAACGGAGGCGUACAAAGGUUUCCUCUGAACGGGUAGAAAUCGUAUCUAGAGUGUAAAGGCAUAAGGAAGCUUGACUGUGAGACCUACAAGUCGAGCAGGGACGAAAGUCGGUCUUAGUGAUCUGACGGUACUGAGUGGAAAGGCCGUCACUCAACGGAUAAAAGUUACUCUAGGGAUAACAGGCUGAUCUCCCCCAAGAGUUCACAUCGACGGGGAGGUUUGGCACCUCGAUGUCGGCUC
rnacentral:rRNA from 13 species